UAGAGGCGGUGGAGACAGGAUCCGAGCCAAGGCUGCAGAGGCUGGAGGCGGGAGGGGAAACCCAGCCACA
ensembl:misc_RNA